AUUCAGUUUUAUAGCAAGAUGACUUCGCGUACGGAAGAUACUCCAAACGACCUAAGUGUGACAAAAUGGGCAUCGGAGACGCCCACUGUUCAAGAAAUCAGUAAAUUUAUGCAAAAUUUUGGUAUAUCGGACUAUACUGUGUUUGCUGUGAUGCUGGUCAUGUGCGGUAUGGUUGGUAUUUACUUCGGUUUCGUGAAAAAGUCCUCAGGCGAAGAUGAAUAUCUUGUUGGCGGAAGGAACAUGAAAGCAUUUCCAGUCAGCCUUAGUCUGUUGGCCAGUUUUAUAUCGGGUAUUUCAUUGUUGGGUACACCGACGGAGAUUUAUGUACAUGGUAUAAGCUAUCUAUUCAUUUGUUGUGCGAUCAUCUUCGUUGCCUUUACCACAUCCUUCGUAUAUCUGCCAGUAUUUCAUGAGCUCAAACUCACCAGCACUUAUGAAUACCUCGAGAAACGUUUUGAUAAGAAGUUGAGAUUACUGGGUUCAAUCCUUUUUGCCAUGGGUAUUAUAACUUGGCUUCCAAUUGUUAUCUAUGUACCUGCACUGGCUUUCAAUCAAGUUACGGGAGUAAAUGUACACAUAGUCACACCUUUUGUAUGCAUCGUUUGCAUAUUUUACACCUGUGUGGGCGGUCUCAAAGCAGUAGUAUGGACAGAUUUCAUUCAAACUUUCAUUAUGUUUGGCUCGAUGUUAUUAAUUGCAAUUAAAGGUACAAUAGACGUUGGUGGACUAUCUCUAGUGAUUCAAAGAAAUUUGGAUUCCGGAAGACUCGAAUUUCCUGCGAUGGAUUGGAACCCUUUCAUAAGACAUACAAUUUGGUCACUCCUCAUAGGUGGUUACAUACAUUGGUUGCAAAUCACUGCCAUUAAUCAAAAUAUGAUUCAACGAUAUUUAUCACUUCCUACUCUGCAAUCAGCUAGAAGAGCACUCUGGAGUUUCAUGAUCGGAGUUACAAUGCUGACUUGCUUAUGUGGAUAUUGUGGCAUGCUAAUUUACGCCUGGUAUCAUGAAUGUGAUCCACUUACAACUAAGUUGGCACGCGCCAAGGAUCAACUGCUACCGCUGUUAGUUAUGAACGUUUUAGGAAGAUUUCCAGGACUGCCUGGUCUCUUUGUAGCUGGUGUAUUUAGCGCCGCACUCAGUUCAUUGUCAACCGGUUUAAAUUCUAUGGCAGCCGUAGUAUUGGAAGAUUUUGUUAAACCAUUUCAGAAGACUCCAUUUACGCGCAGAGGUGCUGAUAUCUUUAUGAAACUCACGGUUGUUGUUUUAGGAGCAAUCUGUGUUGCUCUUGUUUUCGUCGUUGAACAAGCGGGUACUCAUAUGUUGCAGUUGUCCAUAACCUUAGGCUCCAUUACUACUGGUCCAUCUUUUGGUAUUUUCAACAUGGGAAUAUUAUUACCAUGGAUUAAUAGCAAGGGUGCUUUAGCAGGAGGAAUUGCAGGCUUGAGUUUUAUGGGCUGGCUCGGUCUAUCCGCUGAAGCAGCUAUCACCAGUGGAAGAAUUAAAUUUGAUACAAAACCUGUCACUACGGAAGGAUGCACCUAUUCAUUUCCACAGAGAACCAUGGACAUUAUUCCGUCUCAGUUACUUGUUUUACACUAUGACUGGUGCCUUAAUAACUAUGAGCGUCGGUCUCAUCGUAACUUUAAUUACUUCUGAAGAUAUUGAGAAGUUAGAUCCAAUGCUCGUAGCGCCAUUUAUGAGAAAAUACUUAAAGACUGCAACCAGAGAAGUUCCGCUUCAAGAAUUUCAUGAAAUCAAGGUUGCAAAAUCAAAUGAAAAGGUGGCGUCUUGUACUAUCAAUGAAGAUGACAAAUUAUUAUCAGAAGGAACGAUUUCAACAUAAUAUAAGUAAUUAUUAAUGUAAAUGUUAUUAAUAUUUGAAUUUAUUAAGAAAGUAUAUUAUAAGUAUAUUAUAAUUUAAUUCUUAUAUAAAAAUCAAGAUUAAUAUUGAAUUAUUAAAGAAAUUUUGUAUAAAAUUUAUACAAUAUCAUAUAUUUUUGCUACGUAUGAUGUAUAUUACAAAAAUUAUUAUAUUAUGGAUUAUUGUGAAUAAAGUUAUUAAUAA
rnacentral:misc_RNA from 1 species